AUAUUUGAAUUUCUAUGUCAAGUCUAAAAAGACGUUUCAACAUUUGUUUAAACAUUUAAAAGUUAAAAAGUUGGUUCAUAACGUUUUAACGUUUUACCGCUUUAAUAACCAUGGUAACUAAGCAUACAUAUGACUGAAUGGUAAACCAUCCACAUCCACAGUUACCCAUCCCAUUAAUUUAAGAUGCAGAUCUCAUCCAAAAGAAACAAACAAACAAGUGUGCGUAUAAGACUUUGGACGUUCAUUCGUCUCCCUCUCCCACGUGGAAGCUCAACCGCGAGUGCGUCCUCUUGAGCUUUUCCGUUCUGCUGUCAACACCGGCUGCAGCAUCAGGACCAUAUUUCUGCAUUGCAAUUUAAUCAAUCAAGAUGCCAUUUUUUCCCUCUUGUUCGUGGCUGUGCAGUGCUGCUUGCUGGCUUCCAUUGGAGAAUUUACCUACCUGGACGAGCCUCUGCAAGUUGUGGUGGCUUCCCCUAAAGCUGCCAAUCUUAGCCUUCCUUUCUGCUCGGAGCCGCUCCAGCUGCUGCUGAUCCCGGCGAUCCACUGCAGAUCCAUGACCAUGCAAUGAAUGAAGCAGCAGCCAGCAGGAUGAAUAUGAUGAUCCAUGCAUGCGGGCUUAGGCUUACACAUGUUCCGGAAGCGGCCGAAUGCAGCGAGGGCGACGGUGGCCAAGGCAGGCACGGCGAGCAGCAGCAACAGGCACCUCCUGGCCUUGGCCCUCCCCCUCCUCCACAGCAGCUGCCGGUUCACCUCCGAAGGCAUCGGAUCCUGCGUCGCCCAUCAGCUGUCGGCGAGGCUGCUGCUUCAUGCACAAACAGAUUUAUUAAUCAAAUCAAAACUAAGCCAGGACAAGACAUGACAGCACAAGAAAGGAAAGAGAAGAGUGGAAAGCACGUCCAGUUUGUCAUGGCCG
rnacentral:misc_RNA from 1 species